UACGGAGGGUGCAAGCGUUGUUCGGAAUUAUUGGGCGUAAAGCGCGCGUAGGCGGCCUCUUAAGUCUCACUGUGAAAGCCCGGGGCUCAACCCCGCGGACUGCAGGGGAUACUGGGGGGCUGGAGACAGGUAGAGGCUAACGGAAUUCCGGGUGUAGCGGUGGAAUGCGUAGAGAUCCGGAAGAACACCAGAGGCGAAGGCGGUUAGCUGGACCUGGUCUGACGCUGAGGCGCGAAAGCGUGGGGAGCGAACAGG
rnacentral:rRNA from 1 species